GGCAGGAUGGCCAAGUGGUUAAGGCAGUUGGCUGGCAUUUAGAAAACCCGGGUUCAAUUCCCAGCUCAGCCA
rnacentral:tRNA from 1 species